rfam:Schistosoma mattheei strain Denwood, Zambia genome assembly, scaffold: SMTD_scaffold0009728
CUCUAGCUGAGGAGUCCCAUACUAGGACGAAACGGCCGUCCAGUGCUUCCAGAU